CCUACGGGUGGCUGCAGUGGGGAAUAUUGGACAAUGGGCGAAAGCCUGAUCCAGCCAUGCCGCGUGUGUGAAGAAGGCCUUCGGGUUGUAAAGCACUUUCAGUGGGGAAGAAAGCCUUGGGGCUAAUACCCUCGAGGAAGGACAUCGCCCACAGAAGAAGCACCGGCUAACUCCGUGCCAGCAGCCGCGGUAAUACGGAGGGUGCGAGCGUUAAUCGGAAUUACUGGGCGUAAAGCGCGCGUAGGCGGUCUGAUAAGCCGGUUGUGAAAGCCCCGGGCUCAACCUGGGAACGGCAUCCGGAACUGUCAGGCUAGAGUGCAGGAGAGGAAGGUAGAAUUCCCGGUGUAGCGGUGAAAUGCGUAGAGAUCGGGAGGAAUACCAGUGGCGAAGGCGGCCUUCUGGACUGACACUGACGCUGAGGUGCGAAAGCGUGGGUAGCAAACAGGAUUAGAUACCCCAGUAGUC
rnacentral:rRNA from 1 species